rnacentral:rRNA from 1 species
AUACGUAGGGUGCGAGCGUUAAUCGGAAUUACUGGGCGUAAAGCGUGCGCAGGCGGUUUGCUAAGACAGUUGUGAAAUCCCCGGGCUCAACCUGGGAACUGCAAUUGUGACUGGUAGACUAGAGUUUGGCAGAGGGGGGUGGAAUUCCUGGUGUAGCAGUGAAAUGCGUAGAUAUCAGGAGGAACACCGAUGGCGAAGGCAGCCCCCUGGGCCAUGACUGACGCUCAUGUACGAAAGCGUGGGGAGCAAACAGGAUUAGAUACCCUGGUAGUCCACGCCCUAAACGAUGUCAACUAGUUGUUGGGUCUUUUUUGACUUGGUAACGUAGCUAACGCGUGAAGUUGACCGCCUGGGGAGUACGGCCGCAAGGUUAAAACUCAAAGGAAUUGACGGGGACCCGCACAAGCGGUGGAUGAUGUGGAUUAAUUCGAUGCAACGCGAAAAACCUUACCUAACCCUUGACAUGUUAGAAAUCUCUCAGAGAUGAGAGAGUGCUUGAAAAAAGAU